AUGCUGCUUUCCUGGCUCUUUUGCAGUGCCUUUCAGAGAAACUCCCAGCUACACAAAGCGGAGACGGAUCCUCGGUGCCGGUGGCCUCGCUUCACCGCGCAUGCUGCAGCGCUCGGCCAGCGACAACAACCUGAAGGCAGAGAGCCGGGCGUCCUACUCACCAGUGCCCUCGCUGCGCAGCCUGCCCCCCCAGCUGCUGGUGCAGAUGCAGGAGGCUGCAGCAGGGGCCGGCGGUGGGGACGGCAGCCUGGCCAGCUCCAGCAGCACCCGCAGCGCCCACAGCCGCUCCCCAUCCUUGCAGCGCGUGCAGGAGGAGAAGGAGGCCGACCUGCCCACGCUCCGGAGGAGCAGCCGUGGCAAGGCCAGAAAACGGAUGCAGGUGCGGGGGAUUUCAGAGUGCAGAAGGGACUGUAAUCAUCCAGGCACCAGAUACCAUGGGUGCAAGCAGCCUGCAUCCUGCACAUCAUGCACAUGAGCACAAGACCAGAAGAGGAGGGAGCAGCACUCAUGGCACCCCAUUCAGUGGGUAUUUUGGACUCAAGACAGCUUUUGAUUUUACCUGAAGAUGGCCAGCUUUGAAAUGUAUGUUAAAUCUGAAAGGCUGGUUCCUAAUCCCAGUUUUCACAUGUUUCUGCCAAGCAAGUGUCCUAAUGCAAGGCCAGAAUGAUUAAACACCUCCUUCUCUGUGGGCUCAUUUGAGCAUCAUUAUUCUUGUCUGCCUGCCUAGAGAGGCUCCAGUUUGGCAGGGACAGUGUGGGCUCUUGGACAACGUGCUGCUUGUGAGGGUCAUUCGGCUGUUCCUCCUGGAUGCAAGCCUGCAGCACACGUGGCCACCACCCUCUGCCCCAGCCAGGGCCGGGCAUAGGUGCUGGCAUCCCUGUGCCUGUUCUUCCGAGGUGUCUGCAUGGGAAAUGCAGCCAGGUGGGCUCUCAGGAGGGAGCCACCACACACUGGACGCAGGUUCAGAGGUGCCCCAGUUAUGAGGCUGGACUUUAACCCAAAAUAUCUGAUAUUUUAAGUCUUUUAUGUCUUGGUUUAAUGUUUAAGUAGCUCAUAACCAGCAUGCAGAAGUCUCACUGUAAGACUGCCAAAGGCAUUCACGACCCCCAGACUUUUCUGGUGUAAGCCAUUUGGAGUGACCCUGGGCUGAAGCAAUCAAUGUAUUAUCAUUGCCAUUUCAAUGAUGCAGUAUUUAUUACACAUUUUUUAUAGGGCUCCCUAGCUAUGGUAUCUGCACCCCAAAUAAGACCACACUUUAUGGCUUGCAUGAAAAUGCUGUUAUUGCCUGGAAUUCAGCAUCGCUGACAAUGGAUAGCAAUCUCAGCUGUUGUAAAAUGGUUUUGUUUCCUGUUUAUGGAGCUAUUACUUUAUGGUGGGUAGAAAGCUCACCAGUGGCAUUUACUGAGCUAGACUGCUUGUAGUAAAAAUGUUUUUAGCUGUUUUUAAUCUUUUGGUUGAAAUAUCUUCUAAUCUGAAAUUUCUCAGGUUUUUCAUUGCUUCUGGUUCAGUUUCAGUCAAAACGGACCAGAAUUUUUGAAAUGAGAAAAGGUGAAGGAAAAGUGGUUGCAAUAUAGUCUUUGAGUAGACAUGAUGCUUGUAAAAAAAUAGUGAUAGAAAGCUAAUAUUUUACAUGGGUGUUAGCAGUGAAGCAAAAAGGUGACAGUUAGUACUUCAAAAUGAAUUCUGAUUUUGCAUGCUACUAGGGAUUAGAAAAAUCAGGUUUUGUAUUUGUGUAUUUCUUUUUUAUAAAUGACAGUCUACUAAAUCAGAGUACCAUAAACACUGCCAUGGUGUAGGGCAUAGCUCUACAGAGAGAUUUACCUUGGCUUCAGUUCCCCUUUACUUCAGACACUUACUGAUCGUUGCUCCAACAAAACUGCAUGGAAGCCUAACAGAGUGUGCAGAUUAGAAAGCCAGCUGUGGGUCCUCAUCUGCCAGACGUGCCAUGAGAUGGUGAUGUACAUUCAUGCCUUUGACCACACUAAGCAUUUGAACUGGCAGUGACAGUUCUGGCUUGGAAUCCUGAAACAGACCCUAAAAUUCACAGCCCAGAUAAAUAGCUGCAUUUUAGUGCGGGGGGGGGAGCCCUUUCUUGCAGCGGCUCACUCACACUCUUCCUAGCACAGCCAUGUCUGUAAGUGUCGAGGGGGUGACAGAUGGGCCGUGAGACGGUUUGGUGAGCACUGUAGAGGCCAUCUCAGGUGCUCAGGUGUUCCUUGCUGGAAGCAUGAUCUGCUCUCCUGGGGGAACACCACAGAGCCAGCCCUGGAGAAGCUCCAGCUCAGGCAAGCAGCAGAGGUGUGCUGUGCUCUCCUCUCCACCCCAGAACUUGCCUGGGAUCCCCAGGGCUGGGACGAGGCAGCUGCAGGGUGUGUGGACAUACAGACGCUUCUUAUGCCUUUGCAGGUACCAGGACAGGUUUUGUAGAAGUUGUCAAAUUUGGCUUGCUUUCAGCUUUGAGUACUGUUCAUUUAGGAUGUUGCUGUUGUCCACGAGUGCUCUUCACAAUAGUGAGGGUGAGAGCUGUGCAUAAACCCAGCAUGGAGCUGAGCAUUUGCCUUGCAAACAGCAUAAAUUACAGCAAAAACUUGAGAUCGUGACCAUGUCUUGUUCCCACCUCCAUGUUGCAAAGCUCCAUGCAGGAGGCCCGCAGUUGUUCCGUGCCCCAGCUGAGAAGCAGCAAGGUCUGGUGGUGGUGGACAGCAUUGCCAUUUGAGCUGAGGCUUGCCCAGAAGUGCAAUCAGAUGUUUAUGCCCUAUGUGUGAGACUCUUUCCUCCUCCUGCCUUAUUCUGCCAGAGCUUUCACAUCUCCUUUAAUUUUGUGCUCCAGGGUCACUGGAGCAAAGUGCCUCAUCCUCAGUCGGAGCCCCUAGCACCAUGCUGGUUUUCUGCACAAAGCCUUUCCUAACAAAUACAGCAGGCACAGAGGUGCCUGCCCUCUUCAUUGCAAGCCAUCACCUUCUCAGGCUAUUUGGGAUUCCCAUAACUGCUCAGUUACUCUUGUACCUGUUGGGAAAAAGUUUCUGGCAUCAUUUGUGCCUGUGGGCAGUUUUGGGACCCAAGCUGGCUGCUUCAGCGCUGUGGGUGUUCCCGAAGCAGGUUGUUUGGUUGCCCAUAUCAAUUUUUCCCUCCUUGAAUGAGAGGCAAUAGACUUGUCACUCCCAAAGUAAUGUGGUAUCCUCUGACUUGAAAAAAUCAUUAAAAAUAAGUGGUACUUCUACACUGCUGUCUUGUGUCAGCUCCUUUAGAAAACUGAGUUGAAGAUUAUCCAGUGUCCUGUCUGAAUGCAAUAAAUGCUCUAGGUUUCACUGCCUUUCA
rnacentral:lncRNA from 1 species